CAGAAAAUAGUUUAAUUAAAAUAUUAAUUUUGGAGAUUAAUGAUAAGGAUAUCUUUUUUCUGA
rnacentral:tRNA from 1 species